GCCAGGAUGGCUGAGUGGUUAAGAUGUUAGACUUCAGAUUCAAUGGAUAUAUGUCUGGGUGGGUUUGAACCCCACUCCUGGCA
rfam:Alligator mississippiensis ScZkoYb_82.1, whole genome shotgun sequence.